AAUAAAGUGCCUGAUAAAAGGAUUAUCUUGAUAGGAUAAAUAAUGUAAUAAAAAAUUACCUUUAUUA
rnacentral:tRNA from 1 species